rnacentral:rRNA from 2 species
CUUAAAUUGAAGAGUUUGAUCAUGGCUCAGAUUGAACGCUGGCGGCAGGCCUAACACAUGCAAGUCGGGCGGUAGCACGGGGGAGCUUGCUCCCUGGGUGACGAGCGGCGGACGGGUGAGUAAUGUCUGGGAAACUGCCUGAUGGAGGGGGAUAACUACUGGAAACGGUAGCUAAUACCGCAUAACCUCGCAAGAGCAAAGAGGGGGACCUUCGGGCCUCUCGCCAUCAGAUGUGCCCAGAUGGGAUUAGCUAGUAGGUGAGGUAAUGGCUCACCUAGGCGACGAUCCCUAGCUGGUCUGAGAGGAUGACCAGCCACACUGGAACUGAGACACGGUCCAGACUCCUACGGGAGGCAGCAGUGGGGAAUAUUGCACAAUGGGCGCAAGCCUGAUGCAGCCAUGCCGCGUGUGUGAAGAAGGCCUUCGGGUUGUAAAGCACUUUCAGCGGGGAGGAAGGCGGUAAGGUUAAUAACCUUAUCGAUUGACGUUACCCGCAGAAGAAGCACCGGCUAACUCCGUGCCAGCAGCCGCGGUAAUACGGAGGGUGCAAGCGUUAAUCGGAAUGACUGGGCGUAAAGCGCACGCAGGCGGUCUGUUAAGUUGGAUGUGAAAUCCCCGGGCUUAACCUGGGAACUGCAUUCAAAACUGACAGGCUAGAGUCUUGUAGAGGGGGGUAGAAUUCCAGGUGUAGCGGUGAAAUGCGUAGAGAUCUGGAGGAAUACCGGUGGCGAAGGCGGCCCCCUGGACAAAGACUGACGCUCAGGUGCGAAAGCGUGGGGAGCAAACAGGAUUAGAUACCCUGGUAGUCCACGCUGUAAACGAUGUCGAUUUGGAGGUUGUGCCCUUGAGGCGUGGCUUCCGGAGCUAACGCGUUAAAUCGACCGCCUGGGGAGUACGGCCGCAAGGUUAAAACUCAAAUGAAUUGACGGGGGCCCGCACAAGCGGUGGAGCAUGUGGUUUAAUUCGAUGCAACGCGAAGAACCUUACCUACUCUUGACAUCCAGAGAACUUAGCAGAGAUGCUUUGGUGCCUUCGGGAACUCUGAGACAGGUGCUGCAUGGCUGUCGUCAGCUCGUGUUGUGAAAUGUUGGGUUAAGUCCCGCAACGAGCGCAACCCUUAUCCUUUGUUGCCAGCGAUUCGGUCGGGAACUCAAAGGAGACUGCCGGUGAUAAACCGGAGGAAGGUGGGGAUGACGUCAAGUCAUCAUGGCCCUUACGAGUAGGGCUACACACGUGCUACAAUGGCGUAUACAAAGAGAAGCGACCUCGCGAGAGCAAGCGGACCUCAUAAAGUACGUCGUAGUCCGGAUUGGAGUCUGCAACUCGACUCCAUGAAGUCGGAAUCGCUAGUAAUCGUAGAUCAGAAUGCUACGGUGAAUACGUUCCCGGGCCUUGUACACACCGCCCGUCACACCAUGGGAGUGGGUUGCAAAAGAAGUAGGUAGCUUAACCUUCGGGAGGGCGCUUACCACUUUGUGAUUCAUGACUGGGGUGAAGUCGUAACAAGGUAACCGUAGGGGAACCUGCGGUUGGAUCACCUCCUUACCAAGAAG